GGACACUGAGUUUUUUUACUUUAUUCAAAUUUGACAAGAUAAAUUACAGGUUAUAAAGGGGUCAAAGGGCAGGGAUUGACAUGCAACAAAGGUUCCCAUCCUCCUUCAUUCAAAAACAGUGAUAACCUGAUUCAAGCUGACUCUAUGUGAAAACGCAUUGAUAAUUCCUCAGAUGUGAGUGUGAGUCAUUGAAUCGGUCUAAUCUGUGUGCUGCAAUCCCGCUCAUCUUUGUUUAUGCAUGAGCAUCUGUGCACACAAACCAAGAUAUUCCACCAUGUCAGUCUUUGUGUGCGUGCCGCUACUGUGUGCACUCAAACUGUGAUUUUCUCUGUGCGUGUAUAAAAAACAUAUGGUGAGUCAGUGUGUAGGAGUGGAGCGCCAGAGUGUGUCGGUGGGAGGAGGGAGUGAGGAGAGGAGAGGAGAGGAGAGGAGAGGAGAGGAGGUGGUAGUGGUAAAUAGGAGAAGAGGAUUCAGGUUGUGCACCAAUAGGUGGCACUCUACCCUUUUGUGAUUGUCUACAGUGACCCAGACUGAGUCGGGUCUGGAAGCACAUGCGUUUGCAUCCGAAGGGAACAGGAAGUUGGGUCAGGAGAGUUGCUUUUUUUUUUUUCCCGGUCCUGUAGUUAUUUCUGUUUGCUUGGCUGCUCUUAGUGUGGAGGAAUAAAAGGAAAGUGAAAGGUGAGAGUGAUGGAGGGUGAGGGUGGAGGUUACACCACGCUGGAUGGGUGAAUGGAGAGUCAACACUUUGGGGUCAAAGACGUAGUAUUCUCCCUGGACAAAUUCUUGCUUUUAUUAAGAAAAAAAAUAGAUUUAUGGGGUUUGAAGCUUUUUUUUCUGCAUGACUCUCUAUCUGAACCAUAAUAUGUAGGGGAAAGUGGGGUAGGAUGAGCCAUUUUUCAUAUUUCAGAUCACUACAUUAAGACAAUCCUAGUUUUGUCUCUAACUAGUGUAUCUGCAUAUAUUUCAAG